GAACGCUGGCGGCAGGCCUAACACAUGCAAGUCGAGCGGUAGAGAGGUGCUUGCAUCUCUUGAGAGCGGCGGACGGGUGAGUAAUGCCUAGGAAUCUGCCUUAGUGGUGGGGGAUAACGUUCGGAAACGGACGCUAAUACCGCAUACGUCCUACGGGAGAAAGCGGGGGAUCUUCGGACCUCGCGCCAUUAGAUGAGCCUAGGUCGGAUUAGCUAGUUGGUGAGGUAAUGGCUCACCAAGGCGACGAUCCGUAACUGGUCUGAGAGGAUGAUCAGUCACACUGGAACUGAGACACGGUCCAGACUCCUACGGGAGGCAGCAGUGGGGAAUAUUGGACAAUGGGCGAAAGCCUGAUCCAGCCAUGCCGCGUGUGUGAAGAAGGUCUUCGGAUUGUAAAGCACUUUAAGUUGGGAGGAAGGGUAGUAACCUAAUACGUUGCUACUUUGACGUUACCGACAGAAUAAGCACCGGCUAACUUCGUG
rnacentral:rRNA from 1 species